AAACGCUGAAAGCAUCUAAGCGUGAAGCCGUCUUCAAGAUUAGGUUUCGUUAAGAUCCCUCAGAGACUAUGAGGUUGAUAGGCGCUACGUGUAAGAUCCGUAAGGAUUUUAGCGAAGGCGUACUAAUAGAUCGAAGUCUCGAU
rnacentral:rRNA from 1 species